rnacentral:rRNA from 1 species
GACGAACGCUGGCGGCGUGCUUAACACAUGCAAGUCGAACGGAGAGGCCCUGCUUUUGUGGGGUGCUCGAGUGGCGAACGGGUGAGUAACACGUGAGUAACCUGCCCUUGACUUUGGGAUAACUUCAGGAAACUGGGGCUAAUACCGGAUAGGAGCUCCUGCUGCAUGGUGGGGGUUGGAAAGUUUCGGCGGUUGGGGAUGGACUCGCGGCUUAUCAGCUUGUUGGUGGGGUAGUGGCUUACCAAGGCUUUGACGGGUAGCCGGCCUGAGAGGGUGACCGGCCACAUUGGGACUGAGAUACGGCCCAGACUCCUACGGGAGGCAGCAGUGGGGAAUAUUGCACAAUGGGCGGAAGCCUGAUGCAGCAACGCCGCGUGCGGGAUGACGGCCUUCGGGUUGUAAACCGCUUUCGCUCAUGACGAAGCUUUGUGUGACGGUAGUGGGUAAAGAAGCACCGGCUAACUACGUG